rnacentral:rRNA from 1 species
UGCGUAGGGCGCAAGCGUUGUCCGGAAUUAUUGGGCGUAAAGAGCUCGUAGGCGGUCUGUCGCGUCUGCCGUGAAAACCCGAGGCUUAACCUCGUGGCUUGCGGUGGAUACGGGCAGACUAGAGGUAGGUAGGGGAGAAUGGAAUUCCCGGUGUAGCGGUGAAAUGCGCAGAUAUCGGGAGGAACACCGGUGGCGAAGGCGGUUCUCUGGGCCUUACCUGACGCUGAGGAGCGAAAGCGUGGGGAGCGAACAGG